rnacentral:rRNA from 1 species
GACGAACGCUGGCGGCGUGCUUAACACAUGCAAGUCGAACGGAAAGGCCUGCUUUCCCUUGUGGAUUGCGGGUACUCGAGUGGCGAACGGGUGAGUAACACGUGAGUGAUCUGCCCCCAGCUUGGGUAUAAGCCUGGGAAACUGGGUCUAAUUCCCGAUAGGACUGCAGGGUGGUGCCUGUGGUGGAAAACGAUUUUCUAGUGGUUGGGGAUGAGCUCGCGGCCUAUCAGCUUGUUGGUGGGGUAAUGGCCUACCAAGGCGGCGACGGGUAGCCGGCCUGAGGGGGUGGACGGCCACAUUGGGACUGGGAUACGGCCCAGACUCCUACGGGAGGCAGCAGUGGGGAAUAUUGCACAAUGGGCGGAAGCCUGAUGCAGCGACGCCGCGUGGGGGAUGACGGCCUUCGGGUUGUAAACUCCUUUCGACCGCGAGGAAGCCACCUGGUUGGAAGGGUGGUGACGGUAGUGGUAGAAGAAGCACCGGCUAACUACGUG